AUUUUUCAUGAAAUUCAGUUAUUUAAAUAAUGUAAAAAAAUUCAGUUGUACUUUAUUUCAUAUUCUAUAUUCACUUAAAAAGAAGAGAUUAACUGACUGCAUCAGCAAUUUAACUUCCCCUAACAACAGCUUUGUGGCAGUAAGAACGAACAUCUUUUCUAACAAGGUGUUUGUUCCUUGUAUAGAGAUUAAUGUCAUGACAGUUUUCUUGUCUUAGAGCCUCACAUUACUGUCAUGUUCAGCAAGGUCUGGCUUCUAGUAAAAUUGGGAGGCUCAUAACAGGCAAAACAUCUCUAAGUUACAUAUUUUGUAGUGCAAAUGAAAACUUUAAUGUUUCAAAUAGUAAGAAUUGUUGUUUCCUUUUAUAUUUACUAGACUAUAACAUAGGAUUACAGUUGUGCUAAUAUCUAAAUCUUUACAAUGGCCAGAUUGUAAACUGGAUGUUUCAAAAUUGUUGGAUUUUCACAGAAGUCUUCAGUACAUCCUGAAAUUAAUAAUUCUGAAAGUAUUCAGUAUGAGGGAGAGAGAUUAACUAGUACUACAUCCCUAUACUCACAUACUUGCUGGCUACCCACAUACCUACAUACAUGCACACACACACACACACACACACACACACACACAUGCACACACACACAGAAUCAUGACAAGUCAUAAUUUUAAAAAACCUGGAAUGAUAGGUAGUUAUUCUGUCCUUUAUCAGGCUCUCAAUAAUAUGAUACUCGUCUCUACUUAUUUUAGAACAGGAGUUCUCAGACUUGAGCCUACAAUAGAAUCACCUGUUAGGGCUUAUUAAAACAUAGAUUGUUGAACACCAAACCCAGAGUUUCUGAUUCAGCAGGUUUGGGAUGGGGUCCUAAAAUUAGUAUUUGCUAUAAAUUCAUAGGUUCAGGGACUGCACUUUGAGAAAUACUUACUGCAGAAUCCUAAUAGAGAUUGUAUUUUCAAAUAGUGAUCUCAACUCAGACUGUAUCUCAAACUUCAAAACUGUAUGAUCUAGGACAAAUUUAUUUCUCUAUGUCUCAGUUUCUACCUCCAGAAAAUGAAAAUAACCCAUUACAAGGCUAUUGCAAGUAUUACUUGGGAGAAAGGCGUAAGCAUGUUACCUGGACUGAUGGCUGAAGUAGAGGAAGAAUGCCAAAGUCACUGCUUAAAGAAAAGUUACCCAGGAAUCAACCAACCCACAUUGGGUCUGUGAUGGUGAAAUGGAUUCAAUGUCGCUCAACUAGUAGUUAAAAGGAUUAGGAUAACUUAGAACUUUCUCUAUGUUCCACAACAUUUGGAUAAAUGACUGGCUGGAAGUCUAAAACCAUAAGGCAUUCCAUAGGAGUUUGAAGAGGAUUGCUUUGUCCUGCUCUCCAUUCACCAUCACAUUCACAACCAAAUGGUAGUGUGUUUAUGUGAUAUGAUUCUGUAUUGGUCAUAGAAAGAGCCAUCUAAUAAGAUAAAAAUGUCAAGUGGUUAUACAGGAAAUUAAAUGGUAAAAGUCUACAUUAAGAAACUAAAGAAAUGGAGAUGAUUUUUCUCCCUUUCUUCUACACCUACAUGCCCACCUCCCUCUUGCUAAGUUAUAUCCUAGAUAUUUCCUCAUACAAACAGAAAAGACAAUUUGUCUACCAAAAUUGAAAUUAAAGUGAUAAUGAACAUUAGUCUUGGUUAUGCAGUAAGCUAUAAACAAAGGGAAAUGGAAUUAAAAUUUACGUUUAAGGAGCACCUAGGUGGCUCAAUCGGUUAAGCUUCCGAAUCUUGA